CACGGACACCAUCAGGGUUGUAAUUUUGGUUUCCCACAGUUUUGUAUGCUUAUGUAACAUUCACCUGCAUAAAGACAGAUCUUGCACUCUUUCCAUGGGAGAAAGCACUUGAGAGCUGCUGUGGAUUCUCUGUGGAAAUAGGAGAAAAGCCAGAGCAGCAUCACCUAAAGAUCAGCUUACAAGAGCAUGCAUAAAGCAAUCGACUUUGGAAUUGGAAAAAUUUGAGGCAAAUGGACACCAUUUGAGCUCUGAAAUUUGAGUGGAUGCUUUGCACAGCUCAGAUACCCAUGCCUUUCCUCCCAACCUCUCAUCGCCUUCCCGCAGCCUUAAUAAAACAAAGGAGUCACAUGGUCACGUCACAUUCCCAUGAGUUUAUCUGGCGAUUAGAGGGCUGGCCUGUUGAAAAGCCAUUAAUAAAAUCACAAAUACACCUUGGUUCACUGUGUGGUGUAAAUGGCAUGGGAAUUGCAAUACAGGCUGAACCAGAUUGAGAAAGAAUUUAGCUCUUUGUCCUUUGACCUUCAGCCGUGCUGAUCGGUGAUCAGCAGAUUGUGGUGGGAGAUGAGUUUGUUAAAAGGGUUAAGCUUUGGGGGGAGACUACAGACUCAAACCUUUCCCUCUCAAAGGAGAAAGGACUCCCAUGAGAAGGGAACUUUCAAUGUUGGGUAUGGCCAUUGAAGAGCUUAUUUGGAAAGCAUUAGUCAAUUAUUGCCCAUGCAGGACUGAGUGGGAAUGUGUGUCUCAAGGGGAGAUGAGGAGAGUGUGACUCUCUACCGUCAUUAUUCCAUAGGCAGCUAGCAUACGAAACAGAUGAAGAGAUAUGUAUGCAUCCGUGUAUGACUCUUUGUUCGAAGGGCCGGCCUUUUCAUUUUAGAGCAAGAAGUGGAAAGUGGCAUCCUUGGCAACAGAGCUGCUCCAUCUGGACCACAAGCUCGACCAAGAUGGCUUUGUAUGUACGAUUUGCUUCCAGCUAAAAGGAGUCACCCGUUGGCAUGGCAUGCCAGGUGCUCGGCCUCGACAUUAGCCCAACUGUGACAGGACGCCCCAUACAGAGUCUGUAACUGGGUUUAUUUCAUUGAAUGUCAUACAGACAGUACAUUCAUACAAGCGAUUUGGCCUUCAUCUGGUUUAGCUUUGUCUUAACCAGGCUUAGUAUUCUCUCAGUGUUUGUCCCGCACCAUCUGUAUCAAAAGCCUUGAGCCUGAGGGAGAGGAUGGUACAGCAUCAUUCAUUAUUUCAUCUUAUCCAUCAGCAAUAUGGAUCCUCCCGCCUGUAAGCCGCUGCUCAAGGACCCAUCUGCGAUGGCGGACGAUCACAUUCUGAUCUCACACUCAAGUGUUACUGAAAAUUUCCACCCCCAUAAAUGUGCCAUAAUGUGAAAUCACACUGAGUUUGGGCUGAAUGCCCAGACCCUGGAAGAUACGGUCUUCACCGUCACCUCCAGACCCCCUGCUGAGCCCAGUUCCGUCGCUCCUCCACCACCCCCCUCGUUCAUCUCCUCCAUCUCCUUCCCAAGUGAAGGAGUGGAUGCCGAUUUGCCAUAUCCUUCAUACUGAUAUUAAUUAAAUUAUUACAUGAUUUCUUGUUUGACUAUUAAUCAAGUUAUAGCCAGAGUGAAAUGUGUAACCUUAUGUGUGCUGUAUUUCUUUUCCUCAAGAUUAAUGUCCACAUAUUAUGUGUGUUUAUCCAACCGUAAUGAUAAGACACUCGCCAGUGCUAGAAAGCCUUGAAUUUUAGAUAAGUUCUCUGUGUACGUGUGUUAGUAUCUGUCUGUACAGGGAGAAGCUCAGACAGUCCCAGGACAAAAAUCAACUGCCAGUGUCCAGCAUAUCAGAUAUACGUCUUUGGAGAGUUUUAUCUAGGUUUUGGAACCAAUCAGAAUUUUGUUGACUCAUGUAUUGACGCAAUUAGUAUCCUCUGUCAGGGUAUAACUGUGGUUGAUUUUGUAUUGUACUGGGGGCGGCCUGCGAACUCCUUCGAGAGUGUUGAAGCUGACUUCUGCUGAUGAAAUUGCAAACUAUUUUCUUCAAGUAAAAUUAUUAUUAUUAAUUGAACUCAUUUCUGAGUCCUGGUCUUCAUUGCGACAUAUCUGGUCCUUGGGUUUUAACUGUAAAUUCCCCUAUAGUUAAUGGUGGAGGAUCGGCGGGCAAUAGUUCUUUGUUGACAUCCCUGAUCAAUCAUCAAACCAAGGUAGGAAAGACUUUAGAUUUAAUAUUAUUGGUUAGGGACUGUCUGUAAGUGGAGGGGGUCGAGAGAAGGAGGAACGAUAGACUCACUCAGACGUGAGGGGGUAGACACCAGCUCCAGGGUGGAGUAGGUAAAUUGGUGUCACAAUAUACCUGUAAAUAAGUAACCUUGUGAGUAUAAGGGGUACAAGUACACAUCGGUAGGUCUUGAUAUAAGAUAUUUAGAGAUGUGUACAGUUACAGAGGGAACAGGUGCACACCUAUAGGUCUUAGAGAGAGACGUAAAAAUUUGUUUCUAGGUGUGCACAGUCCAGGGGGGGACAAAAACGCAUUCUUAACAGGCAUGUGAACCCGUAAAGGGCAGUGCUGGGUCAAGCACCGAGGGACAAAGGACACGUAGGGCCGUAAAUAGGCAGUGCUGGGUCAAGCACAGAGAGCCAAAAGGCACGAGAGGCCAUAAAGGGCAGUGCAUUUACUGCCAGGUAAGCCAAAGUAGGGGUAUGGGAAAUCCCGAGAAGAAUGUAAGACGCUAGACGGGGGUUCUAGUCGUAUCUCGCUCUUCCAACUCUCGAUCACCCACCAUUACAGACGGGGGCGCCCCGAGCUUAGAAAUAGGCCAGGUCAGUGGUUAGGGAAAAGAGUAUCCAAAAUUAGUGUUUAAAAAUAAAUAGUGAUAAUUCAUAUGUGCACCUAUAAAAAUAUAGGGAUAUAUGCAAAGGGAAAGUAUUGAUUGAUCUGGGAUGCCUCAGGAACAACCCCAAAAGAGCUAAAAUGUAGUUUUCAUGACCCUGAUUGGAUUGGACCAGUAUAUGGAAAUUCUGCAAUAUACUUUGCAAUUUCAUCACGCAGAAGUCAAGUGCUGUUGGUAAGAUCGCCGCCUCAAUAUGUUUUUGGUUUAUGAUAGAAAUAUGACUGACAAAUUAGGUAACCUGGUCAGCCCUGAUAGAAAUAAUGAAACAGAAGAGAGCAAAUGCUGUAAAUAGUUUGGCUCUGAAGCUCUGACUUUAAAAAUAUAUAUAUAUUCUCUGAAUUCAUUUAAAGAAUGAUCAGUCUGAGCUUUAAUUCUGAUUGUAAUGUUAAAACAAAAACUUGAUUGGCUUUAAACUUAGAAAGAACCUGAGAAAUAAACAUUUAUAAAUGUAUGUGCCGAUUUGUUAAAAAUAAUCCCAGAAGUAACUGAGUGAUGAUUUAAUCUGAUUCUCUGUGCAUAGAAGGUUUAAAUGACAAAGAAUGAUAUCAUAAGACCUGUUCCAGUUCCUAUAUAAUUGUUGAAAGUCCUGACAAGGAAUACUGAACAGAAUUCUGGGUUAGUGAAAAAAAAAAAAAAACUGUAGGCACACAAAUUGGCAGUGGCAUUUUGGAAAAACUUAGAAGCUUAUGUUUUGCUUUAAAAGAUAAAAUUGCUUUGACUACAAUGAAGCCAUUGUUUUAUCUCAUGCUGGCCCCCACCAUGACUCUGGCUUAAGCUUUGAAAGUACCAGAGACAUGUUCUGAGUAAAAAAAAAAAAAAUGUAAUUCCUAUAUUUACUAAUGUUUGGCCAAAAGAGUAAUUUUAUUGUUGGAUUGCAAAAUUGUAGUCACGCAGCAUCAUAAAAAAAGAAAAAAGAAGAGAAAAGAAAAUUAUUUUUUGUUUAUGAGAUGAUAAAGUUGUAAACAAGUAACAUAAACGGGGGUUUCGAAGUAACUUUGAAGACAGCAUGCAAGCAAGACCCAAAGUAACAUACCUGGGUCAGAUAACCUCUGACAGAUUUAAAACCAAUGUUGAAAUUCAGAAGCCAUGGCCAGAAUUAAGUGAAUGGAUAAAUACAAGUUGAUGUAAAAGUAAUGACAAUGACUGCAAAGAACUUUGAGAAACAUUUGAGUUGCGAAAAUAAAGUAAAAAUACAAAUAUAAAGAUGUUUAUUUUUAAAAUGCAUAUAAUUUCUGACAAGUUUUAAACUGGGCUAGAGUAAAAUGAUAGUACGAUGAAAUUAUGUUAAAAAUGAAUGAUAAUGCAUUGUUACGAGUCCUGAAUCCCUCAGAGUUCUCUCUCUCUCAUUCAAAGUAAGCUAAAAUGCCGUUAUCUGAGCUUGUGUUUAAGUGAUAAGAUAUUUAUAGUACAGCACAGUGUUUCAGUCAAAUCAUAGGCAGAGAUGCUAAAGGACAUGCUAAAAAGAGUUCAGAUUUAAUGCAUUAAGAGGGCAAUUGGUAGUUAAAUGUUCAACUGCCCAAUGCAUGUAAGAAAUAAGAGAUUAUAAAAAUAAUGAAUAACAAUUUAGGAGCAAUUGUUGAAGAGACAUGAGGUCUUUAAAAUCAUAAUACAGACCCUGAGCUAUAGAUGUAAUAAUUUUGAAUAGUUAAACAGUUGUAUUGCUAUUUGUUCUAUGACCAGUAACUUAUCUGUCUUAUUUUUAGUCUCCACCAUCAUACAGGGCCUGAUGGAUGCAGCUACAGAAGCAACAGAAAAUUACAAUGAAUGGACGGGUGUGAAAAAUAAAUUCACUGAGUAAUCUCAGCAUGAUAGUUUGGAGGUAUCCAAUUGAGUUUAGCAAUUAAACAUUAGUUUGAUUAACCUUUUUCAAUGUUUUAACACUAGUAGGUGCUGUCAAUGGCUCUCAUGGUUCUUGAGUGCACCUUUCCUAAGCUGCAGGAAAUACUGGAUUCUGGAAGAAGACUGUCGAGGAUGUUGCAACGGGAAAGAGUGGUUACCAGUGUGCAUGAGGUGAUUUCUCAAUGACGGGUAAGAUCCUCUUCUGGCCAAUAGGGGACAACCUAAGGCAGGGGGUCACCGCCACUGGGCACCUGCCCUGAAGGGAGGUGUUAUAUGUGAGAUGGUAGUGGAGUUGAGCGGAUGCUUGAUAGGCCUAGAGCAUCAUUAAGAGGGGAACUGUAGGAAGUACAGCAAUCUGCCUCAAAAUGUGAGCUCCUCCAGACCUGAUCACCAGCAACCACAUUCCUUGACUGAUUGUUGUGACAAGCGUCCACAACUUGAUGCAACUAUGCCAGUGGAUCACACCCUGAGGACAAGGAGCUUAUUUAUAAAAAGUUAAUGGCAAUGGGCUUUCAAGAACCAUCUGAGACCAUGUGAUGACAGCCAUUAUUUUGAGACAAAAAUUUCUUAUGAGGCUAAAAUGAUAUUGAACUAAUAUGUCUAUAUCAUAGUCUUUACUCAUGCAGGUCAUUAGGCAUGGCAUAAGAUGAUUACAAGAUAUGGUGGUGGCUAAAAAUGAAGACUGCUUCUGCUUAAUCAAGAGUUGAUUUAGAUAACAAAGGUUAAGGGAAUUAAGCAUGUAAGGUAAAAAUAAUUUUAAAGAAAUGUUCCUAGCAUUAUGUAUUUUAAACAGUUUAAACUGAGAUUUUAGAUCUAGAAACUUUGACAUUUUUAACUUAUUUGAAUAAUUUAGGGUUAUAUGUUGUAAUGAAUUUUAUAUUAUAGUCUAAGUUAAAGUUUGGCAAAAAUUGUCAAAAUAAAUAAAUAAAUAAUAUUUUGCACAGUAAGAGAGAGAGAGAGAGAGUGCUUGAGUGGAGGCAGGGAUGGUGCUCUUCUUCUUUUAUUGGCCUGCUAAGUCAGAGUAACCAAGACAGAGCAAUGAUUUGAAGACCAAAACAACCAAGCUGAUUUUACUCUAAAUAAAAAUCAUUAAUGAACAGGCAAACUUUGAGAUUAGAUAAGAGACUAGGUUCAAACUAGGUAAAAUGCACAGACAAUGUUUAAGUUUAAAUCCUUCUGAUUUAAUUGCAAAAGCAAACCUUAAAUAUGAGCUGUUAAAAUAUUAAUGUGUUAAGUAUGUGCAUGCACAAGGAUGGCUACUAUAAAUUUUUGGGGGACAAUUCUGUUCCUGUUUUGUUUCAAUUGAGUUACUAACCUCUGGAAAGAGUGUUUUAUCAUUACAGAUGUGUUGAGUGAAAUUACUUUACAGAAGUCGAUAAUUCUGAGUGAAACUAAUGAAAAGACAAUGCCGAACAUGGGACGAGCUUUAAGAGGAUUGGUUAUCCAGCUCUGUCUGCUACUGGUAAUAAUGACUUAUUUGGUCUUUUAUAAUACUGAUUUAAAUCACUCUCUGGAUUAAUAUGUUAAAGAGUGUUUAUAUGAUUGGAUUUGUGAAAUUUAAGUUUGCCGUCCAAAAUGGGUUUAAAAUCCAUGCCUAAAUUUAAAUGAGGGUCUAAAUUUUAACAAGUUAACACUUUGUUGUUUGAAUGGUGAAGGUAAAUAUUUUAGACUUGACGGCAGAAAAACAGUGACAGAUUGGCCAAGUCACUAACCAAAUUAUCCAGAGAGCACCCUCACAUAAAGAAGCCUGGUGGGAAAACAAAGGAGUGAAUCCUGCUUGUGUAAUAUAGUGCAAAAGCUUUAUGUAGUGGUUUAUGUAGAACAGAGAUAAGUUGAACAAAAACGUGUGGAUAGCCCCUUAAUGGAGCAAAUCCAUAACAAGAGGUUUGAAUUAAUUGAAAUAGCACAGCAAAAAAAAAAAUUAUAAUAAUAAAUUUUGUUUAAACAACACAAUUGUAAUAGGCUCUAUGGAGCUGCUUAUGAACACUUGUCAAGUCAAAUUAAUAUUGUGAACACUGACAGGUCUUUUUGAUAAUGUAUACUGUUUCAAUACAGAUUUACAGAAACUGAGGAUGUCUCUUUAAUAAAUAUUUGGCUGUUUAGAACUAAGUAAUAGUAUUGUUCAUUUAGUAAUAAUAUUGGGAAAUCUGUCUGCUCUUUUUCAGUUUAUAAUAAUUUUGAGUAAAUUAAUAUCACUGCCAAAUGACAAACAUGAACGAGGGUUGUUAAGACAUUGAUCAAGUAGCUGACCUGUAAGCAUUUAUCACUGACAAAACAGUGAGAACUAAAUUGACUUUAUACUAAGUAUUGAGGAUUUGCUUCUGAAUGUGUCGCUAAUAUAGUCUGAGUACAGUAAUAUGGUAUGAUAAUUGACAAGAUUUGCAAUAAUAAGGCAAUGAGUAUGGUUAACAGUAAUGUCAUGGUAUAAAAUAAAUACAUGCAUGACAAUAAGUGGAUAGGUUAGUUGUAUUUUAAAAGUUAGACACUUCGAUACUUAAAAUGUAAUUUUAACCAAAUGAGUUAACAAUGACAAGGUUAAUGGUUCAUGUAUGUUUAAACAGCAUGUGAACUAUGAUGACUGCAAAUGGAUGUGUGGUGAAAGUAAAGCUUAAUAAAAGGGCUAUUAAGUAAUAAACUAGGAACUGCUCUAGGUUUUCGAGGAAAUAAUGAUUAUGAUUAUUUUUAUUUUUAAAGAUGGCUCAAUAUUGAUCUUACUUAUUUUUGGUUUGUUUAAUUUUGUGUUUUUAACACCAAGUUUGGAAUGAAAGGGUAAAAUAGAUAAUCAAUCUCUAUAAUUGUACCAUUGAUGGGGAAAAUUAUAGAUUUUCAUAAAAUAAGGGUAUCUUUACUGGGAUUUAGGUUAUAAGCAAUGUCUAUAUUUGGUAUCUGUGAGGUGACUGAGGGUCUGACAUAUGUCAGGAAUGCAAUAACAGUGGUUAUUCAUUUAGCCCGGCUUCCAGAGAAGCUGGAAGUUUAUUGUAAUGAGUUUAUUUUAAGAUAUGACCAAAUUAACUAAAAUUCAUCAUAGUUGUAUAAAACAUGCUAAAAGAAAACAAAUAAGGCAAAUAUCCUUCUUAAGGGUUAAAAAAAAAUGAAUUGGUUAUAGUGUAUGCGGUUUUCUUUAAUGAUUUGUUAAAUCUGGUUAAAGAAUAUGCAAAUUUAGUCUUAAGGCUGUUGGAUAAAUGUUUUGUUUUAGAGGGUAAGUGUGAAGUAGCUGUAGUAGGAAGAGAGGUAUUUACAAAGAUAUGUUGAUGAAAGUAUAUAUGGAUGGAGGACACUUUUCCAGGUAGAGGGACACACAGAAUAAUUCACUGGAAAAGACAUUAUGUGAAGAAAGACUAGUGCAAGUGGCGAUAUUGUGGGAUUAAGUAAGUAGAUGAAUGUAUAUGGGAAGUAAGAAUGAUUAUGGGAAGUAUUUUGUACAAAAUAAUGUGUUUAUUACUAGAAAUGUCAGCCAGUACCAGAGAUCUUAAGUAUAUGCACCUGCUUAAGUUGACCAACAGCCUGCAUUCUUAGCAUGCAUCACAACUACACCUGACCUCAUUUAUUAGACCAGAUGUGGGGUAUUAGACCCCACAUUGAUCUAAAACGGGGGACUGAAGGAGUGGAUGCCGAUUUGCCAUAUCCUUCAUACUGAUAUUAAUUAAAUUAUUACAUGAUUUCUUGUUUGACUAUUAAUCAAGUUAUAGCCAGAGUGAAAUGUGUAACCUUAUGUGUGCUGUAUUUCUUUUCCUCAAGAUUAAUGUCCACAUAUUAUGUGUGUUUAUCCAACCGUAAUGAUAAGACACUCGCCAGUGCUAGAAAGCCUUGAAUUUUAGAUAAGUUCUCUGUGUACGUGUGUUAGUAUCUGUCUGUACAGGGAGAAGCUCAGACAGUCCCAGGACAAAAAUCAACUGCCAGUGUCCAGCAUAUCAGAUAUACGUCUUUGGAGAGUUUUAUCUAGGUUUUGGAACCAAUCAGAAUUUUGUUGACUCAUGUAUUGACGCAAUUAGUAUCCUCUGUCAGGGUAUAACUGUGGUUGAUUUUGUAUUGUACUGGGGGCGGCCUGCGAACUCCUUCGAGAGUGUUGAAGCUGACUUCUGCUGAUGAAAUUGCAAACUAUUUUCUUCAAGUAAAAUUAUUAUUAUUAAUUGAACUCA